rnacentral:tRNA from 1 species
GGGGUUGUGGCUUAGUGGUAGAGCACUUGCCUCGCAUUUGUGAAGCCCUGGGUUCCAUCCCCAGCGUUACCA